CUUAAGAAGGUCAACUACUCUGAGGCUGCUGUGCCCUGUGGUCUUGCCAACCAGCAGUCCUGGAAGAGCCCAGCCUGCACUCUUCCCCAGGGUGCCAGGCACACAAGUGGAAAAGUCAUCUUGGAAGUGGCUCCUGCAGCUCCAGCUCUUCAGCCCCAGCCACCUGAGCCCAGUCUUUUCAGCUAAGGCCCGAGAUUGAGGAGGAGGGACGAGUCAUACCUCCUGCAUAACAAAGUGGUGGCUGCCUAUUCAAUAAAGACACAGCUCCUUGGCAUGGCAUCAGUGACCUCCACCUAUGUCCUUGGGCUGAAGGAGGCUUGAGUCUUCUCUGUACCUGUUUAUUCUCCAGCAUGGCACCAUCGUUGAAAUAACUACACAAGGAAAGAAGAGCACAUUUACUAGGGCAUUCAUUUGCUAUAUUAUUUGAAGUGCAAACAAUUGAAGAAAACUUCAGUGUUCAACAGGGAACUCUUUAAAUACACUGUGGUACAUCUGUACAGCAGAACUCUCUACUGUGCACUGGAAGCAUGGACUAGGUCUUCUCCAAGAUACAUGUGAACUAACAGCAAGUCACAAAGCUAUUGAUAUAGCAGUGAAGUCUCAGGAUACGCUUGGGGAAAACAACUCUGCCCAGGAAUUUGAGAUCACAUUUCCCUCUUUCCUGCAUCAAGCGCAAGCUGCUCUUCUGCUUUCAAGGCCUGCCUAUGGCCACGCUGUAAGGAAACUCAGUCAGCCCCAUGGAGCGGUCCACAUGGCAAGGAACUAAGGCCUCCUGCAAUAGCCAGCAAAGAACUGAGACCUUCUGCCAAUAGCCAUUUAUGUGCCUUGAAGUGAAAGCAGCUCUAGAAAGCCGAAGGACAAAAGGAUCCAGGACCUCUGAGUCAUUUGGAGGAGUGGUACCCUAGGAAGCCACCCUUACAUUAAAUCACGAACUUGGGACUUGUUUGCUAUCGUCGUUACUGCUACUAAUUCUAUGUAAUAUACUCUCCUUUUACUUCUCACAGCAUUUA